rnacentral:rRNA from 1 species
UACAGAGGGUGCGAGCGUUGUUCGGAAUUAUUGGGCGUAAAGGGCGCGUAGGCGGUGCCACAAGUCACUUGUGAAAUCUCCGGGCUUAACUCGGAGUCUGCAGGCGAAACUGUGGUGCUGGAGUGUGGGAGAGGUGCGUGGAAUUCCCGGUGUAGCGGUGAAAUUCGUAGAGAUCGGGUGGAACACCAGUGGCGAAGGCGCCUGUCUGGCUGACAACUGACGCUGAGACUCGAAAGCAUGGGGAGCAAACAGG